rnacentral:tRNA from 1 species
GCGUCGGUUGUUCAGUGGUAGAAUACUCGCCUGUUACGCAGGUGACCCGGUUUCGAUUCCCGGCCGACGCA